GAUGCCUGGGUCCAUAAGAUUCAGCCUAGUAGAUGCCCAAGUAUCGAGGGAGUUUUGAAGUCUCAAACAGCAUAUACUUAAGGUUUUUUUAUAGUGCAAUAUGGUAUCAUUCUAUUUAAUAUCAUGAUUAAAUGUUCAUAAUGAUUACACCGAUCGAUCUUGAUUAAACAAUUCAUAGUGGUGGUACGAUCCAUCGAGUCGCAUCAAUUUUUUAAGAGUUGCUUCAGGUGUCCAGAAAGCGUUGUGGACGAAGGCCGACAGUGCUGCUGCUUCCAAUUCCAGCCACAAGGCGACGCCCGGUGCGAGAAAGGUGCUACGCCCAUGAACAGUUGCAAAGAGGCGCGACGUGAGUCGUUCGACUGCCGCUAAACCACGUUUGUCUGAUCUCGUCUUUAUCAUCGCUGCUCUUCUCUGCCCUCGGCGAAAGCGCGCGGACUCCACCCCGAAGAGAUUACCGCAAAACAUGGUAGAAGAGCUCUUGCAUUGAGAAGGUAAAGCUCCUCGAUACUUGCUUGGGGACCGAGUUUUCCUGCCACUGAAUCUAACGCAGACUGACCAGCCAAAUUCUGUAAGUUGUCCACUGGCUUGUGAACCCUCCCUGCAAUUACUCUACAUAUCAGCAAGGCUUUUCUUAUAGAAGGUUGAUCCUCAAUAACUUGAAUUGA